rnacentral:rRNA from 1 species
UAAAGCUUCAAACUGGGAUUAGAUACCCCACUAUUCUUGGAUGUAAAUUAAUUCUUAUUUACCAGAGUACUAUGAAUUAAAUAUUUAAAACUUAAAGGGCUUGGCGGUGUUUUAGACCCCUCAGGGGAACCUGUCUCGUAAUCGACAGUCCACGAUAAACCUAACCCUUUUUUGUAUAUCAGCUUGUAUACCGUCGUCGUCAGGUAACUUUUUAGAAGAAAGAAGUUAGCAAAAAAAUGAAAUAAAUUUUCACGUCAGAUCAAGGUGCAGCUAAUAAAAGGGGGAGGAUGGGUUACAAUUACAAAAUUGUAAUAACGAAAAGUUCUUUGAAAUAAGAAUAGGAAGGAGGACUUGAAAGUAAGAUAAAAUAUAUAAAUGUUCUGAAUAUGGCUCUGAAACGUGCACACACCGCCCGUCACCCUCUGCAGUCAA